UAUCUUAUUUGAGCUAAUUUUUUCUUGGAUCAAAACUCUUUAAACUAUUUUCUACUUUAAGGAGUCGACUCUUAGAUCUGGAGAGUCGACUCAUGAUUUUAAGAAGAAAAAUAGUUCUGUGAGGAGUCAACCCCAAUUUUACUAGAGGCCGACCCCUCAUUAAGAGUUGACUCAAGAUUAAGACGAGUCGACCCCUUUGUUGGGAUAGAUUUUUAAACCUGAGGGGCCC
rnacentral:lncRNA from 1 species